GAUGAACGCUAGCGGCAGGCUUAAUACAUGCAAGUCGUGGGGCAGCAUGAAGUAGCAAUACUUUGAUGGCGACCGGCAAACGGGUGCGGAACACGUACACAACCUUCCUUUUAGUGGGGAAUAGCCCAGAGAAAUUUGGAUUAAUACCCCGUAACAUAGCGAUGAGGCAUCUCAUUGCUAUUAUAGCUUCGGCGCUAGAUGAUGGGUGUGCGUAUGAUUAGAUAGUUGGCGAGGUAACGGCUCACCAAGUCUACGAUCAUUAGCUGAUGUGCGGGCAUGUUCAGCAGCAAGGGCACUGAGACGCGGGCCCGACUGGUACGGGAGGCAGCAGUAAGGAAUAUUGGUCAAUGGACGAAAGGCUGAACCAGCCAUGACGCGUGAAGGAUUAAGGUCCUCUGGAUUGUAAACUUCUUUUAUAUGGGACGAAAAAAGGUCUUGCUAGAUCACUUGACGGUACCAUAUGAAUAAGCACCGGCUAACUCCGUGCCAGCAGCCGCAGUAA
rnacentral:rRNA from 1 species